rnacentral:tRNA from 1 species
GUCGUUGUAGUAUAGUGGUGAGUAUCCCGCCUGUCACGCGGGAGACCCGGGUUCGAUCCCCGGCAACGUCU